AAAACACACAUGUUCCCUUCUUACAUUUCACACUUCCUAUAUAUGUAAAUAGAUACUCAUACAUCCGUAAAAAUUCUCUAUUGUUUAUUGGGGUCGUUUUCAGUGUUGUGGAUAGUGCACUGGUAGGAUUUCAGACACCCCCAUUUUCUUCGACUGUGUAACUUCAAGAUUGGCUGAACUUCUCAUGCUUUUGAUCAUGGCAGUGCCAUGAUAAAAGUUCUUAUGGGAUAUAUCUUUACAGUUGGAUUCACUUCUAUGGUCCUCUGUUAAAAGUGGGGUUUGGUUUGGAAGCACAAAUUCUAUAUUAUCCACAAGAAAAUCGUGCAUUUUUUGUGACUUUUGGUACCUGGGGUUUCAGAUAAUUCUUUUUGGUGAUUUGGGUAUUUUUUUUUUCUUUCUUUUUUGCCAUUGGUUGUUUGUUUCAGGUGUUAGAAACCAAACUCUUGAGUCUUGAGUAAAGUGCUAACCAACAUAUUUUUGAGUGAAUUUCCAUAAAGAUUCAAUCUUGUUUUUGGUUUCAAAAUCUUUGGUGUUUACUUUGGAGAGCGGAGUGCAAUUGCUGUAUGUAUUUGUGGAGGUGAAUUGUUCAGUGGAUACAAAUUGUAGAAUAAGAAACAAUUUAGUGCAUAUUAGGGGAAUCUUGAUUUGAGAAAUCAUUUAUAGCAAGUAGUAGUGUUCUUGGACUGCUGAUACAUCAUUGAUGUAUGCAGAUUUUGAUAACUAUAUAGUAAAUGGUGUAAACUUAUUUUGCUUUUGGUGGUGGUGAGAUGUCAAUUGUUUCACCCCCUCCAACUCCAAGUUCUACUACAUCAUUUGCAGCUCCACCAACUUCCUUUAGUUCACCAUCUCAGCUUUCUUCUUCAGCACCUACAUCUCAGCCCAAUGAUAACUCAUCAUCUAUUGCAUCUCCUCCCCCUAGCAGCUUACACCCACAAUCUGCUCCUCCAAUAAAUGCAACAUCUCCUCCUAUAGCAUCAGCACCACUGCCUCAAUCCCCUCCUCCAACAAAUAUAACAUUGCCUCCUCCUGCCUCAUCUCCACCUCCACUCACUUCACCAACACCUCCUGUAGAAUCUGCUCCUCCAAUUAGUCCUCCACCUCUUCCUUCGUCACCUCCAUCUACACCUUCUGGUUCACCUCCAACUUCUAGUCCGCCCGCUAGUUCACCACCACCUCUAUCAUCCAGCAAACCAAGUAGUCCACCACUACCUCAACCCGAACCAACUAGUCCUGCAAGUUCACCUCCAUCACCAUCGACACGUCCCCCUGCAUUGUCACCUCCUCAUUCAUCAACACUCCCCCCUGCAUUGUCACCUCCAGCACCUGUGCAGAAUCCAAAAACUCCUCCAGCACCACGAUCACCAGGGAAUCCGUCUCGUGAACCUCCUAAAACCUCAUCGCAUUCACCACCUUCAUCCAAGACGCCAGCGAAUUCACCUCCAUCUAAGCCACCACAAAGUACUCCAGAUUCCCCAGCCUUAGUCCCUCCAAUAAAUUCACCCCCUUCACCAGCUUCUUUACCUCCUAGUAACUCAGCAUCCUCUAGUUCCCCACCUACAGACUCAUCAUUAUCAACACCUACAGCACAAUUAUCACCACCUCAAUCAUCCAAUGGUGCACAACCUUCUCUUACUCCUCCUUCACCAUCAUUUCCUUCAGGUGACGCUACUGCAUCCAGAAACAAUUCGACAGAUAGAUCAAAGGCUACAGGGGAUGGAGGAAUUGGCACUGGAGGAUCAGUUGCUAUUGGUAUCAUACUUGUGCUUCUGUUGCUUGGUAUUAUUGGAGCUGCAGGAUGGUGCAUUUGGAAGCGAAAGAAAAAAGAUUCUGGCCUGAGUGGUGGUCAUAUCUUGCCAACAACUCUCGUCUCCUCUCCAAAAUCAGGUUCUGCCUCGUUGAAGGUUCGAGAAUCGACACAUGUGAUUGGAAAUGGAACUGGCUCAAAUAUUGUCAACUCUCCAGGAAAUCCUGGUGGACUAGGCCAUUCAAAACCAUGGUUUACUUAUCGAGAACUACUUGAGGCUACAAAUGAAUUUUCUGAGCAGAAUUUAUUGGGUGAGGGUGGAUUUGGUUCUGUGUACAAGGGGUGCCUAGCAAAUGGGAGAGAUGUAGCAGUAAAGAAGCUUAAUAUUGGCGGGAGCCAGGGGGAGCGUGAGUUCAGAGCUGAAGUUGAAAUCAUUAGUCGGAUACAUCAUAGACACUUGGUUUCGCUUGUAGGUUAUUGCGUUUAUGAGAGUGGAAGGCUCCUUGUUUAUGACUAUGUCCCCAACGACACCCUUUACUUCCAUCUUCAUGGGCAAGGGAGACCUGUUAUGGAUUGGCCAACACGUGUUAAAAUUGCUGUUGGUGCAGCCCGUGGAAUAGCUUAUCUGCAUGAAGAUUGCUGUCCUCGUAUCAUCCACAGAGAUAUCAAGUCUUCGAAUAUUCUUUUGGAUAAUAACUUUGAGGCUCGGGUUUCUGAUUUUGGAUUAGCUAAACUAGCUGAGGAAGCAAAGAGUCAUGUUACGACGCGUGUUAUUGGUACAUUUGGAUAUAUGGCCCCUGAAUAUGCAUCCAGUGGAAAGCUGACUGAAAAAUCAGAUGUAUAUUCCUUCGGAGUUGUGCUUCUGGAGCUAAUUACUGGACGGAAGCCUGUGGAUACAUCUCAGCCAUUGGGGGAAGAAAGUCUAGUUGAGUGGGCUCGACCUUUGCUUAGUCAUGCACUUGAGAAAGAGGAAUUUGAUAAGUUGGAAGAUCCUCGCCUUGAGAAGAACUAUGUUGCCAAUGAGAUGUUUCAAAUGACUGAGGUCGCUGCUGCUUGUGUGCGUCACUCAGCUGCAAAGAGACCAGGGAUGGGACAGAUCAUGAGAGCUUUUGAUAGUAUGCUUAUGUCUGAUCUGACAAACGGGAUGAAAGUUGGUGAAAGUGUAAUAUAUAACUCUGCGGAGCAAUCUGCACAAAUAAGAUUGUUUCGGAGGAUGGCAUUUGCUAGUCAAGAUUUUAAUUCAGAUUUUUCCAGUCAAGGCAACCAUUAUAGUAGAGAGUUGGCCGAACAUGGUUAGGGUAUAUGCUGCAGAACAAAAUGGCUUGUUGAAGCAAGUAAACGAUGAAUCUGUUAAAUUUCAAAGGCAGCUCAGCUAAAGAGGAAACUUUUAUUAUCAUCUCCAACCAUUUUUUGAAACUAUUGUUCUUUCAAGAAUGAGUUCAUUUCCUCUCUUGUUCAAAAAGAUUGCAAACACCGGAUGACAUACACAAAUUGAGAAAUGGUCCCCUUCUCCUCCUCCCCUGCUGCUUUGCAAAUCAACUCUCUUGGAAACAAAAUAGUAAAGUGAAAACAAAACCAAAAAACAAGUUAUGAACGAGUGAAUGCAAUAUUAGACAACAGCAAUUUGGUGAUGGGUCUGAAUAGCUUUGGAUAAGGUUCAACUUGAAGGAUUUCAUUUCACUAAAUGCAAUAGUUUUUGGAUGGUGUGUGUAUGGUUGAAAAGCAAGGUGUACAGAAGAACAAGAAGUUGAUUAUGAUGUGUUUGGUCAUCACUUGAUGCAGGUCUUUUUUUUUUCUUGGACUUGAUACUGGUCUUUCUUUUUUCCUGGACUUGUUACAAGUCUUUCUUUUUUCCUGGACUUGUUACAAGUCUUUCUUUUUUCCUGGACUUGUUACAAGUCUUUGGCUCUUUUAUUUUUAUGCAUCUAAUUGGAGAAGCACACUGGUCUGACUAAUCUAGAUUCACGUCAUAUAAGGCUUAUUAAAAGAGGAACGCUUUCUAUUGUAUCUCUCGUGCUCAAACCUGAAAUCUCUAGUUAAGGGUGGAUGAAUCUUAUUAUUAAAUUCCACCCCACUUCUGGUUAGUCUUUGGCUCUUCAAUUUGCAAGAACUCUCUUUUCAUGGUCCUUGCAAUAUCUUAUAUUGCCAAAACUAAAUUUCACGAGUCAUUAAAUUAUUAGCUUAAUCUCUGUGCAUUAAGCAUACACAAAUAUUUCCUAUUGUUAGAUUUAUCUUAAUAAAAUAACAUUGGAAUAGCUUCAAUUUAAGAGGCUCCUUUGCCAAUGAAUCCAUUUUUGUAUAUAUGCUACGAUCAUUAGACCAAUCCUUAUCCAAAAAUGUUAUCCUUCCAAGUUAGAACAGGCAAAAAAUAAUUGAUCUUUAAUUCUUUGUAAAAUUAGUACAUUUAAAGAAUAAGGAAAUGUGAAGACUUGUUCUUUCACAAAAGAAGAAGUCCAAUGGAAACGUACACGAGUUACAUUACCAAUUAAUAAGGGAUUUUUACCGUCCUAUACACUAUUGGAAACUUUAUUAUCCUCGUUACUCAAGUUUCAAU